rnacentral:rRNA from 1 species
UUCACGGAGAGUUUGAUCCUGGCUCAGGACGAACGCUGGCGGCGUGCUUAACACAUGCAAGUGGUGCGACGAACCAGAGCUUGCUCUGGGGCCAAGCCGCGAACGGGUGAGUAACACGUGAGUAAUCUGCCCCGAUGACCGGGACAACCCGAGGAAACUCGGGCUAAUACCGGAUGUGGUGCACGGAUUUAAGUCUGUGUACUAAAGGAAGCUUCGGCCUCCGCAUUGGGAGGAGCUCGCGGCCCAUUAGCUUGUUGGUGAGGUAACGGCUCACCAAGGCUUCGAUGGGUAGCUGGUCUGAGAGGACGAUCAGCCACACUGGGACUGAGACACGGCCCAGACUCCUACGGGAGGCAGCAGUGGGGAAUCUUGCGCAAU